rnacentral:rRNA from 1 species
UUCGGCGACCAUGGCGAAGGGGAAACACCCGGCUCCAUUCCGAACCCGGAAGUUAAGCUCUUCAGCGCCGAUGGUACUGCGUGGGGGACCACGUGGGAGAGUAGGACGUCGCCGGAC